rnacentral:misc_RNA from 1 species
GAUGAAGAACGUAGCGAAAUGCGAUACGUAAUGUGAAUUGCAGAAUUCAGUGAAUCAUCGAAUCUUUGAACGCAUAUUGCGCUCUCUGGUAUUCCGGAGAGCAUGCUUGUUUGAGUAUCUGUAAACACCUCAACUUCCAUAUCUUUUUUUGAAAUGGGAGUUGGACUUGAGUGAUCCCAACGCUUUUCCUCACCGAAAAGUGGCGGGUUACUUGAAAUGCAGGUGCAGCUGGACUUUUCUCUGAGCUAUAAGCAUAUCUAUUUAGUCUGCCUAAAAAACAGAUUAUUACCUUUGCUGCAGCUAACAUAAAGGAGAUUAGUUCUUGUGCUGACUGAUGCAGGAUUCACAAAGACAGCUUCGGCCGACUUUGUAAACUCGAUCUCAAAUCAAGUAAGACUACCCGCUGAACUUAAGCAUAUCAAUAAGCGGAGGA